rnacentral:tRNA from 1 species
GCUCCAGUGGCGCAAUCGGUCAGCGCACGGUACUUAUACAGCAGUGCACAGUGGAGUGAUGCUGAGGUUGUGAGUUUGAGCCUCACCUGGAGCA